rnacentral:rRNA from 1 species
GACGAACGCUGGCGGCGUGCCUAAUACAUGCAAGUUGAGCGCUGAAGGUUGGUACUUGUACCAACUGGAUGAGCAGCGAACGGGUGAGUAACGCGUGGGGAAUCUGCCUUUGAGCGGGGGACAACAUUUGGAAACGAAUGCUAAUACCGCAUAAAAACUUUAAACACAAGUUUUAAGUUUGAAAGAUGCAAUUGCAUCACUCAAAGAUGAUCCCGCGUUGUAUUAGCUAGUUGGUGAGGUAAAGGCUCACCAAGGCGAUGAUACAUAGCCGACCUGAGAGGGUGAUCGGCCACAUUGGGACUGAGACACGGCCCAAACUCCUACGGGAGGCAGCAGUAGGGAAUCUUCGGCAAUGGACGAAAGUCUGACCGAGCAACGCCGCGUGAGUGAAGAAGGUUUUCGGAUCGUAAAACUCUGUUGGUAGAGAAGAACGUGGGUGAGAGUGGAAAGCUCAUCAAGUGACGGUAACUACCCAGAAAGGGGCGGCUAACUACGU